GACGAACGCUGGCGGCGUGCUUAACACAUGCAAGUCGAACGGAAAGGCCCUGCUUUUGUGGGGUGCUCGAGUGGCGAACGGGUGAGUAACACGUGAGUAACCUGCCCUUGACUUUGGGAUAACUUCAGGAAACUGGGGCUAAUACCGGAUAGGAGCUCCUACUGCAUGGUGGGGGUUGGAAAGUUUCGGCGGUUGGGGAUGGACUCGCGGCUUAUCAGCUUGUUGGUGGGGUAGUGGCUUACCAAGGCUUGGACGGGUAGCCGGCCUGAGAGGGUGACCGGCCACAUUGGGACUGAGAUACGGCCCAGACUCCUACGGGAGGCAGCAGUGGGGAAUAUUGCACAAUGGGCGGAAGCCUGAUGCAGCAACGCCGCGUGCGGGAUGACGGCCUUCGGGUUGUAAACCGCUUUCGCUUGUGACGAAGCGUGAGUGACGGCAAUGGGUAAAGAAGCACCGGCUAACUACGUG
rnacentral:rRNA from 1 species